rnacentral:lncRNA from 1 species
CAGGGCGGCCAGCACGCGCGCCCAGGAGCUCAGGCCCGAGAGCAAGCCCACCCACGGACCCCGUCGCCCUGGACAAGCCGCCUCCCUUCUCAGGCCCAGGCUCCUCUGUCAACCAGGCAGCCGCAGCCCGGCCCUCCUCGCACACCGGCCCUGCGCUCCACCGGCAGAUGCCCCAGGGCACAACGCAGCCGGCUCCGCACACACUCCUGGGCGCUUAGAGACCCGUCUGCAGGCUGGACAGGGCGACGGCGCAGCAAGCGGGGGACGGGGCAAGGGGAGGCGGGAGCCCCUUGCGCCCCCGGGAAGCCGGGACCCCACGAGUCCCGCGUCCCGGGGGAGCGCCCAUCCCUCCCCGCCCGCGCGCACUCUGGCCGCCCGGAAGAUCCACAACCGCCAGGAGGCCCGCGAGCGCACGACCUACCCCGUCGGGACCCGCCGAGCUGCCCCAAGGCUCGCGAGGGAUCCGGGGCGGGGGCUGCUCCUCCUGCGCCUCCCGGGGCCGCCGUUCCCGGGGCGCCGGCUCUGGAACUAGCGCGCAAACUCACUUCGGGCCGACCACCCUCCGGGGCCCCAAACGGCCGCCUGACGCCUCGCCGUCCUGCGGCCGCAAACCGGCCGGACCCGGGCCCCGCCGCCGCCGCCGCCGCCGCCGCCACUCGACCGCCCGGCUCCUCCGGCCCAGGCCCGCGGGCUCCGGGGCUCGCGCUGGGGGGAUCCCGCUCGCGCCUCCGCCCGGCCCGCGCGGACCCGCGCCCGCUGGGUGCCGGCCCGGCCGGACGGCGGACAGCCCCGCGGGUACCGGGGAAUCCUCGGCCGCCGGAGGCCGAAGCCUGGGAACCGCGGCGAGCGGUGACCUGCGCACGCACAGGAAGCGAGAGCAGCGCGGCCGCACUGCGCCUGCGCCAACACGCACACAGGCCGAGCUGCACAUGCGCACCACGGCGCCGGCGUGCGGCCCGGGUCCUGCGGGAGCCCCCUGGGGGAGCGGCACAAACACCCGGACUCUGUUUCCCGGGAGUCCAAGCGCCCACACGCUAG